rnacentral:rRNA from 1 species
AUUGAACGCUGGCGGCAUGCCUUACACAUGCAAGUCGAACGGUAACGGGCCUUCGGGUGCCGACGAGUGGCGAACGGGUGAGUAAUACAUCGGAACGUGCCCGAUCGUGGGGGAAAACGAGGCGAAAGCUUUGCUAAUACCGCAUACGAUCUACGGAUGAAAGCAGGGGACCGCAAGGCCUUGCGCGGACGGAGCGGCCGAUGGCAGAUUAGGUAGUUGGUGGGAUAAAAGCUUACCAAGCCGACGAUCUGUAGCUGGUCUGAGAGGAUGAUCAGCCACACUGGGACUGAGACACGGCCCAGACUCCUACGGGAGGCAGCAGUGGGGAAUUUUGGACAAUGGGCGCAAGCCUGAUCCAGCCAUGCCGCGUGCAGGAUGAAGGCCUUCGGGUUGUAAACUGCUUUUGUACGGAACGAAAAGCCUUCUUUUAAUACAGGAGGGUCAUGACGGUACCGUAAGAAUAAGCACCGGCUAACUACGUG